AGCUUCAUAGGAUCGGAACCUCUCCUGCGCUGUCUUCCGCUUUCCGUGAAAGCUCGGAUUUUCUCGCUAUCUCUUCGCGAUGGAAAACCACUCCCCAUUCUGAAAGAAAAAACAAAAAACAGAAAAAUUCCGUUGAAAAAAUCACUCCAACUUUAUACCUGUUCUCUCUGAUGGCGGCAGUUUCUUCUAUAUCUUUCUCUGCAUUAGGUCAAUCCUCCGACAGGAAAGUCAGUUUUCAGUCCACUCGUUCGCUUGCUUCCAAUUUGGAUGGUUUCCGACUCCGCACCAACUCCUCUUGUGCUUUGGGCGUCCGAGCGUCGAAUUCGACUUCUCGAGUAGUCAUUCGAUGCAUGUCUACUGCAACCGAUGUGCCCCCUGUUGCUGAAACAAAGUUGAAUUUCUUGAAGGCUUAUAAACGACCAAUCCCAAGUGUCUACAACAAUGUAUUGCAGGAGUUGAUUGUCCAACAGCAUUUGAUGAGGUACAAAAGGACAUAUAGUUAUGAUGCUGUUUUUGCCCUUGGUUUUGUUACUGUAUAUGAUCAACUCAUGGAAGGCUACCCAAGUGAUGAAGAUAGGGAGGCUAUCUUUCAGGCAUAUAUCAAGGCAUUAAAGGAGGACCCUGAUCAAUACAGAAAUGAUGCGAAAAAGUUGGAGGAAUGGGCUCGUGCACAGAAUCCUGAUUCCUUAGUUAAUUUUUCAUCUAGAGAAGGGGAAGUUGAAGCCAUUUUAAAAGACAUUGCACAGAGGGCUGGUGAUAAGGUAAGUUUUUGCUACAGCCGUUUCUUUGCCGUUGGUCUGUUUCGCCUUCUGGAGUUGGCAAAUGCAACUGAACCCACAAUUUUGGAACAGAUAUUUCUCCAUCCAAGUGUGGUAGGAGGAUUUUUUUCCCCUUUCUUCCUCAAACACCCCCCCCCCCUCCGCGGGCGGUCCCCAAAAGCUUUGUUCUGCAUUAAACAUAAACAAGAGAAGUGUGGACCGGGAUCUUGAUGUAUACCGCAAUCUCCUGUCAAAGCUGGUUCAAGCAAAAGAGCUACUCAAAGAAUAUGUAGACAGGGAGAAGAAAAAAAGGGUGGAAAGGGUAGAGUCUCAGAAGGCGAACGAGGCUAUCACAAAAUGCUUGGGUGACUAUCAAUAUUCAGGUCGGUAAUGCGAGCAUUAUUAUUUCAAUCACAAGCCUUGAUCCCGACCUUCAAUCCCCAUAUGUUAUUAUUUCCUUACUUUUUAAAUAGAGUUGAAACGUCCGAAGGUUGAGACUACUUUGUAGCAAAUGGGUUUGUGUUCAAUUGUAUUAUCUUCGAUCCUGUUGACCAAAUAUGAUCCAGCUUACUUGUCUAAAUUGUUGAAUACUCAAUAUGGUAAACAACUAUUCCAUACCAGAAUUGUAACCUCUCUUUACUGGAAUUUCUUCUUUGGAAGUUAAAUGUAAUCAUUAUAUUUUCUCUUUACACAACAA